CUACAGCUAAUUUAGCCAUCAAAGCUCUGCUCCUUGCAGGAACUGAGUGUGAAAUAGCUGCAAAUAGCAGCCUCCUGGGCACUGCACACAUUGUGUUGUCCUUGGGGAUGCUAAGAAACCUUAGAAACAGCC
ensembl:snoRNA SNORA70 Small nucleolar RNA SNORA70